GCGCUAAAGCUCGUAGUUGGAUUUGUGGCUGUCACGGGCGGCCUAUCACUUAGUGUUAGUGCUUGCCUGUGUCGCCAUCCUUGGGUGGAGCCCGUGUGGCAUUAGGUUGUCGUGCGGGGGAUGCCCAUCGUUUACUGUGAGAAAAUUAGAGUGUUCAAAGCAGGCUUAUGCCGUUGAAUAUGUUAGCAUGGAAUAAUAAGAUAGGACCUCGGUACUAUUUUGUUGGUUUGCGCACCGAGGUAAUGAUUAAUAGGGACAGUUGGGGGUAUUCGUAUUCCAUUGUCAGAGGUGAAAUUCUUGGAUUUCUGGAAGACGAACUACUGCGAAAGCAUUUACCAAGGAUGUUUUCAUUAAUCAAGAACGAAAGUUAGGGGAUCGAAGAUGAUUAGAUACAUUCCCGUAGUCAAGGGCGCAAUUCUUAGACCCGCUCAAAGACGUCUACAGCGAAAGCAUUCUCCAAGGAUACCUUCCUCAAUCAAGAACCAAAGUGCGGAGAUCGAAGAUGAUUAGAUAC
rnacentral:rRNA from 1 species